GUGGGGAAUAUUGCACAAUGGGGGAAACCCUGAUGCAGCGACGCCGCGUGAGUGAAGAAGUAUUUCGGUAUGUAAAGCUCUAUCAGCAGGGACGAUAAUGACGGUACCUGACUAAGAAGCCCCGGCUAACUACGUGCCAGCAGCCGCGGUAAUACGUAGGGGGCAAGCGUUAUCCGGAUUUACUGGGUGUAAAGGGAGCGUAGACGGUCUGGUAAGUCAGGUGUGAAAGCCCGGGGCUCAACCCCGGGAUUGCACUUGAAACUACCCGACUAGAGUGCAGGAGAGGUAAGUGGAAUUCCUAGUGUAGCGGUGAAAUGCGUAGAUAUUAGGAGGAACACCAGUGGCGAAGGCGGCUUACUGGACUGUAACUGACGUUGAGGCUCGAAAGCGUGGGGAGCAAACAGG
rnacentral:rRNA from 1 species